rnacentral:pre_miRNA from 16 species
CAUCGGCUUGACUUCUGUAUGGCCCUGAGGUGAGGUAGUAGGUUGUAUAGUUCAGAAGUACAACAUUGGAGAUGACUGUACAACCCGUUACCUUUUUUUGGGUCAUACCACGCUUCUGGACCUCUUG